rnacentral:rRNA from 1 species
CCUACGGGUGGCAGCAGUGAGGAAUAUUGGUCAAUGGACGCAAGUCUGAACCAGCCAUGUAGCGUGCAGGAAGACGGCUCUAUGAGUUGUAAACUGCUUUUGUACGAGGAUAAACGCAGACACGUGUACCUUUUUGAAAGUACCGUAUGAAUAAGGAUCGGCUAACUCCGUGCCAGCAGCCGCGGUAAUACGGAGGAUUCAAGCGUUAUCCGGAUUUAUUGGGUUUAAAGGGUGCGUAGGCGGUCGGUUAAGUUAGAGGUGAAAUCCCGAGGCUCAACUGUGGAAUUGCAUCUGAUACUGUCCGGCUAGAGAGUAGUUGCGGUAGGCGGAAUGUGUGGUGUAGCGGUGAAAUGCUUAGAGAUCACACAGAACUCCGAUUGCGAAGGCAGCAUACCGGCGCUCCACUGACGCUCAUGCACGAAAGUGUGGGUAUCGAACAGGAUUAGAUACCCGGGUAGUC